CCUCGCCAUGGCUGACCAGCUGACUGAAGAGCAGAUUGCAGAGUUCAAGGAAGCCUUCUCCCUCUUUGACAAGGGUGGAGACGGCACCAUUAUCACCAAGGAGUUGGGGACCAUAAUGAGGUCGCUGGGGCAGAACCCCACUGAGGCUGAGCUUCAGGACAUGAUCAGUGAGGUGGAUGCUGAUGGAAAUGGGACCAUUUACUUCCCAGAGUUCCUCACUACGAUAGCCAGAAAGAUGAAGGAUACAGACAGUGAGCAGAAAAUUCGAGAGGCUUUCCGUGUCUUCGACAAGGAUGGGAAUGGCUAUAUUAGUGCCGCUGAGCUGCGUCAAGUCAUGACGAACCUGGGGGAGAAGCUGACCGAUGAGGAAGUGGAUGAGAUGAUCCAGAGAGGCUGACAUCGACGGAGACGGCCAGGCCAAUUAUGAAGAGUUUGUACAGAUGAUGACUGUGAAGUGA